CCCUUUUUAGGCUUUUGUAUUGCAAGUGUGCUGCUUCUUGUUUUGUGUCCCAUGUGGAGCUAGAGCUGUGUUUUCACUUUGCAGUUGGGUGUUACUGGGGCUGUAGGUGCAGGUGAUGUUCCUGUUUGCUCUGCUCUGCCUCCCUCGAGCUCAAAGCUGCGUUGAUAAGGAGGUGAUGGGACCCUCUUGAAGAUACAGAGAACUGAAUAAAAGGCAUCCCACAAAGGAGAAGGAAUGGAAAAUACGCUACAAAAUGAAGAUGUAUUCAGAACUACUCGUUACAGAUUGCAGGGCACACAAUAUGUUCUGGAACAAGUUUCAUCUGUGAAGCUCCAGGCACUCUGGGGAUGGAAAAGAGACAAAGCAUCUUCCACCUCUGCGGUCUGAAACAUCCGUGGCAACAGGGAGUGCUACCAUAAGGCUUGAUGAAAGGGCGGAAGAUGCAGCUGGGCUCUGCCUGCCACAGCGUCCAUUUAUUUUCAUAAAGGAGUCAAAUUUCCAUCGUUACAUUUUCAUCUACAAACCAUCAAUAUUUCAGGGCAGUGGCAAAGCCCGGAGUGGGGGAGGAGAGCUCCCAUGGUCUCAAGGCUCUUUUCAUAGUUAAAAGUUCACUGCAGAAAAUUUGAUGCUUAAUAAAUUGGAGUCUUCUCUGCUUUAAAUCAUUUUUAUAGCAAUUGCAAAAGAAAAUAUAAUUAUUACAAACUGGUCAUUUGUUACUGAGAAAUCUCAUUAAAUUGACUUCAUGUUGGAAGGUUUGGUGGGGGAUGGGAGGGUUGAAGAGGCAAAAACCUGAUAAAAGAUGGGAGGGAGAGAAGUCUCUUAAUUACAGAUUGAUUAUUUCUUGUGAUUGAAUGUAGAGCAUAAUCAGCUCAUCCUUUCUAGCAGGGCAGAUGGGAGCCACAGGGACCUUCUUGUCUUCCUUGACCUGUUAGUGUGGAUACUGAUAGCCCGUGGAUGGGGGAGUAGCUGGUACCACUGGAGAAGCUGCAGAAGCACAUUGAGAUAAGUCAGGGAUCCGGGCUGUUUUUCUCCCCUGGGAGUCAUCUGGGCCAGCAAUUUAAUUCUAUGUUGUCUCAUCAUGAGUUCAUUUCACACUGUGAACUAAUUGCAUAGUUCCUGCACACCGCAACCAGGUUACUUUGCAGUUGCACACGGAGAUGCUUGGAUGGCCAUGUCCAUUUGGGUCUGCUGGCGCUGCUUAUUGGCUUGUGUUGAGCCCCUUGCUAAUGCAAAACUUAUUAAAUCUCACCUACUCUUCCACCUGAGCCAGGCUCACAGUAUGUCAAUAUGUAUGUGCAUAUGUGGAUUAAACAAAUAUACAAGAUGGCAAUACACCCAAAGGGGGGUAUGAUUUAAGCUCUACUUCUGAACAGCAAAGCAACUGCCGUGUAAAUUAAAGCUUCACUCUCAUUUCUGAGGAAGUUACGUGCAACCACAAUGUGCAAGAAUCAGAGGGAAAUGGUUGCUGCAAUGGGGGUGUGAUUUCUUUUUAUUUUAAAUGUUCUUUUAAAGGAGAAGAAUAUUGUGUUUUGACAUCAAAAUGGAGCAAUUGUUUUUGUAAAAUGGUUUUCCUCUAGUUUUAGACCUUUUUAGUGAUUUCUCAUCUUGGGUCCUUAAAGAAAAAGGUAGCUGAAAUAUGACAAAUUGAUAGACCAUAAUGAUCUGAUAAUUUGUGGUAUGUUUCUGAGAAGGAAAAGAGCAAGAAUUUGUGCUAGGGUUUUACGAAAAUGAUUCAUGGACAUGUAGAAUUGUCUUUUAUCAGCAUUAAGAACAAUAUCUAGUACUUAUCCGCUGUAUUUUCCUCCAUGAAGAUCGCAAAACUUUUUGCAGCCCUGGGUGAAGAAGGUUAUUCAAAUAUUGGGGUAUUUAUUUAAUGGUAAACCCAAAUAGUAGGGGAAUAAAUGUGCUUUUGUCCAAUUACCAAUAUGUGCUGAGGAUCCCGGGCAACAAAGCCCCAGUAAAAAAUUAAUAGUGGCUGAAGAACUCAGUCCCAAAGGAACCGUUCUCGUUCAUUUAUGGGUUAACAUUAUGUUUUGCUUAAAUAUGAACAGCAAGUAAAAGUAAUAAUUUUAGAAAAAGGAAAAACAUCAUAAGUAAUUUCCUGUUUUAAACUGUUUCUCUUCUGCUUGUGGUUACAUCUCACAAGAGAACCAAAAUGUCACCUAGCUUUGGGAUUGAACUUUUUGCCCUGUUUUACACUUGAAGUAGCUGGAAUAGAGAAGCGAUUUGCCCAACGUCAAACGAAAAGGAGCAUCUGAAAUUAGGGGCGGGGAACAAAAGGCAAAGAGUUGUGUGUUUCAAGGAUUUGCGUUCACCUAGGGAUACAGGCAUUAUAACAUUGCUGGAAGUUGUCUGAGAAAUGCUUUUGUGUGUUUGAAAUGGUUUUGCCCCUUAGUGAUGAGCAGGGAGGUUUGGACAGGCCAGUCUUUCAUAGUGCUGGGCUACAUGGGGCUGUUAAAAGAAGAGAUACGGGACUUAUUAGUUAGGAAGUGAAGUAGGCCUUUCAGACACAUAAAAAAAUAUACCUUUUUCUGAGUCUUUGUGAAUUUGAGAUUAUAAAGUGACCUAACGCUGCAUGGCUUUUCUAUAAAUGGUGACUUUGUGACUUCUGUGGCAUUCAGAGAUGGGGAAGUCUCACAGGUAACAGAGAAAAUGGGUCCCUUGUUCUCUUGCGGAUCCAUCAGAGAACCAGCGGUGGGAUGGUGGUGAAUUCGAUGCGCGUAACUGCACAGUUGUUGUGUCGUUUCAGCAGCACUGCUCUAUAUAACUCCAUUCCCGGAGGCAGGGGAAGCAGCUUCCCGAAGCAGUUAGGGCUGCAGUGAGCCGGGUCUGCCUCUGCUCUGCCAAACUGAACCUCCUCUCGCCAAAAUUAGCAGCUCCCAGUCUUGGUCCGGCUUCACGCCAAGUGCAUAGCUUGAAGGAUCCGCCUGAUUUGAUGCAGGACUCAGCACAGAGCGAUCUGUUGAGUGAGAAGGGGGUCUGAAUUAAUUCCAAAUAGAAUGUGG